AAAUUGAAGAGUUUGAUCAUGGCUCAGAUUGAACGCUGGCGGCAGGCCUAACACAUGCAAGUCGAACGGUAACAGAAAGCAGCUUGCUGCAUUGCUGACGUGUGGCGGACGUGUGAGUAAUGGCUUGAAAACUGCCCUAUGGAGGGGGAUACCUACUGGAAACGGUAGCUAAUACCGCAUAACGUCGCAAGACCAAAGAGGGGGACCUUAGGGCCUCUUGCCAUCGGAUGUGCCCAGAUGGGGAUUAGCUAGUAGGUGGGGUAACGGCUCACCUAGGCGACGAUCCCUAGCUGGUCUGGGAG
rnacentral:rRNA from 1 species